AUUGAACGCUGGCGGCAGGCCUAACACAUGCAAGUCGAGCGGAUGAAGGGAGCUUGCUCCUGGAUUCAGCGGCGGACGGGUGAGUAAUGCCUAGGGAUCUGCCUGGUAGUGGGGGAUAACGUCCGGAAACGGGCGCUAAUACCGCAUACGUCCUGAGGGAGAAAGUGGGGGAUCUUCGGACCUCACGCUAUCAGAUGAGCCUAGGUCGGAUUAGCUAGUUGGUGGGGUAAAGGCCUACCAUGGCGACGAUCCGUAACUGGUCUGAGAGGAUGAUCAGUCACACUGGAACUGAGACACGGUCCAGACUCCUACGGGAGGCAGCAGUGGGGAAUAUUGGACAAUGGGCGAAAGCCUGAUCCAGCCAUGCCGCGUGUGUGAAGAAGGUCUUCGGAUUGUAAAGCACUUUAAGUUGGGAGGAAGGGCAGUAAGUUAAUACCUUGCUGUUUUGACGUUACCAACAGAAUAAGCACCGGCUAACUUCGUG
rnacentral:rRNA from 1 species